CUCUAAUUGAAGCCAAGGAGCCCAAGCUAGAGUUUAUUGUAGAAAUUAACACAAAGAAAUUAGUAACAUAUUCAUGGACUCAGAACCAAAUUCAUCCUGGUUGCCGGCACUAUCGUGGAAGCUUUGCAUCCUACUCGGUCUACUGAUCUUAACGAUGAUGAAUGUCAGAACCAGAACACAGAAUGUGAACACUACCAUCCUGCACUUUCAGUACUGAUGACAUACCACAAACUGCUAACCUUAUCUCAAAUGUACAACCUGAAAACAUUAAUGAAGAUUAAUUAUUCACUUUC